rnacentral:rRNA from 1 species
AUGCACGCUGGCGGCGUGCCUCAUACAUGCCAGUCGCGCGAACAGACGAGGAGCUUGCUCCUCUGACGUUAGCGGCGGACGGGUGAGUAACACGUGGAUAACCUACCUAUAAGACUGGGAUAACUUCGGGAAACCGGAGCUAAUACCGGAUAAUAUAUUGAACCGCAUGGUUCAAUAGUGAAAGACGGUUUUGCUGUCACUUAUAGAUGGAUCCGCGCCGCAUUAGCUAGUUGGUAAGGUAACGGCUUACCAAGGCAACGAUGCGUAGCCGAACUGAGAGGGUGAUCGGCCACACUGGAACUGAGACACGGUCCAGACUCCUACGGGAGGCAGCAGUAGGGAAUCUUCCGCAAUGGGCGAAAGCCUGACGGAGCAACGCCGCGUGAGUGAUGAAGGUCUUCGGAUCGUAAAACUCUGUUAUUAGGGAAGAACAAAUGUGUAAGUAACUAUGCACGUCUUGACGGUACCUAAUCAGAAAGCCACGGCUAACUACGUG